rnacentral:lncRNA from 1 species
UCAUAUGAAGUUCCAGAAUGUCCCACCUCGGAAAAACUCUAAAGAUAAGUGGAAACACAACAAUUACUAAUAAAAUAAUGCCAAUCAUAAUAGCAAGUAGGAUUAUAUAUUGAACCGGAUCCAGGGGAGUCAAUGCAUUUAGGUUGUUUUUUAAAUCUCUGGCCAAUUCAUCAAUGUUCCAAGUGUCCAAGUGACUUUUACUAAUAUCUGAAAUUUCUGCCUUUGUAGCCUUAAUAUUUGCUAUAUCCUGCCCUAUUGCUGAGACUACUACUUCUAAGACAUUAACCUUUGCCUCCAAUUUUUUAUCUAUAAUAAGUUGCUCUGACAAAGCUAUGGAAAUAUUCUUAUGCAUGUCAUUAACAAAAUGAGCAGUAUGCA